GCUGGGCAUGGAAGUGCACCCCUGUAAUCCAGCGACUUGGGAAGCUGAGGCAGGAGGAUCGUGAGUUCAAAGCCAGCCUCAGCAAAGGUGAAGUGCUAAGCAACUCAGUGAGACCCUGUCUCUA
rnacentral:sRNA from 1 species